CGGGCGCCGGGCGGGGGAGGAGCCUCGCGGCGUCGCGUGCGGUCCCGGGCCACCCGGGUCCGUCUGCCGCAAUCCUCAGGCAUCCGCAGCCCCCGCGCCGUAGCUCGCGGCGCCCGGGGUGAUUACGGGCUGCCUCUGUCCUGGUCAUUGGUAACACAGGAUGAGGAGAAGCUGCAAGGUUUUCUUGAUGUUCACAGGUUCCAAAAUGGGACAGCCUGAGGUGACGGAGCACGACGAGGUGGGUCUGCACUUGCAGAGGCACCAUGAGAGGUGUCAUCUCUUCAGUGGGCACGAGGCCAUGGGGCCCAAGGUAAGGUGUUCACAUCUCUCUGGAAUCUUGUGCCCUGGGGUUUAAAUGAGAAGUGAGAUGAAAGUGUAUGUCUUGUGAG
rnacentral:lncRNA from 1 species